rnacentral:sRNA from 1 species
AGCAGAGAAGAGAGUACUGAGAAGCUCUGCAUUGUCACUUGUCUCUGGUG